CAACCCUCAAGCUCUGCUUGGCAUUGGACCCCGCGGCUUACCCCGCGGGCCCUAAAAUCAGUGGCGGCGUCCUCAGGCUCCGAACGUAGUAUAUAUUCCUCGCUACGGAGUCCUGGCGGCGGUAGCCAUCAACCCCCAACUUUCUAAGU
rnacentral:misc_RNA from 1 species